rnacentral:rRNA from 1 species
UGGGGAAUCUUGGGCAAUGGCCGAAAGGCUGACCCAGCAACGCCGCGUGGAGGAAGAAGGCCUUCGGGUCGUAAACUCCUGUCGAAGGGGAAGAAAACAAUGACGGUACCCUUCGAGGAAGCCCCGGCUAACUCCGUGCCAGCAGCCGCGGUAAUACGGGGGGGGCCAGCGUUGUUCGGAAUUACUGGGCGUAAAGGGCGCGUAGGCGGAUGCGGGCGUCUCAAGUGAAAGCCCCCGGCUCAACCGGGGAAGUGCUUGGGAAACGCCGGAUCUGGAGUGCUGGAGAGGACAGCGGAAUUCCCGGUGUAGCGGUGAAAUGCGUAGAGAUCGGGAGGAACAUCUGCGGCGAAGGCGGCUGUCUGGACAGACACUGACGCUGAGGCGCGAAAGCUAGGGGAGCAAACGGG